UGAGAUGCUGCAACAGGCACAUGCUUGCUCAUCUGGAUGCACCCACUAAGUACAGUUAAAAGGAAAGGAGACACACAUUCAAGCAGUUUACAUGUGUUAAGUACCAUUGCAGAGUUGGUGUAGUUGUUCCCUUUCAGGACAGAGUUAUCUCCUAAGACCUACUAACUUUAAUAGGUCACUACUUUCCAAUGAUUUACAACUUUUGCAAGUGAAUGUGUGCCACCACAUUGACACUUAUUAACUUCAAAACAUCACAACAUUCCAUUGAUUUGUGGCAAGUGAAUGUGUGACCGGGCUUUUAGUUGGAAUUUUUCCAUCAGAAUUAUUUUCCCAUUGAAGAUGGUUUCUUCCACUAACCUAGCAUUUUCUACACAAAAAUGACAAGAUGUUUCCAAGGAGGCAUUAGGAAGUGAAAAAGUUCUAUUUUGAGUCUCCUGAAUUAAUUUUUUUCCCAGAAAUCCCUUCAUGUGAAAACAAUUUGCAUUUUUUUUUCAUUCCAACUUGGGAUAAAAAUAUCUUCAAAAAGGUGACAUUUUUUGCAGGAAGAGACUUCCAUGUUCUUGGCCUAUUUUAUUAGGAUGCAAACAUAAAACUUAACAAACAUAGUUAAUUCAUAAUACUUGGUAUUGAAGUUUAUUACCUUGGGAAUGCUAAGCAUCAGUCUACAAUUAACAAGCAGUUAUGGAAGAGUGUUUGGAGUGUGAAAAGUCCUUUUUGGUGCCAGAAGAGGAAGACUGAUUUGUUAGUUAUAUUACUGGUAGAUUUUAUCAGAUUAUGAGAGCUGCAGAUAAAAUUAUGGACCAGGCACCCAAGGAAGAAGCACCCCAGGAGGUGCCCUCCACAGCAGAGUGGCAGACGGUCACAUCCAGGACCAGGGCUGCUCGUAGCAUACCAGUACCAGUUCCUCCAGUCCAACUGGAGAACAGGUAUGAGGCCCUGGCGACGCUGCAGGAGAUGGAAGGAGAGGAGGAAACCUCUGGGCAGGAAGCAAUGCCACAUUCUCCACACUCCAAACAGAUCAAGGGAACCAAGCAGACCCAGAGGAGGUGGCGUCGAGUGAUCGUCAUAGGCGACCCCAUCCUGAGAGUGAGUGGACAUGGCAGAUGACACGAGAACUACAUUAGAGAGACCAACUGGUGGCUUUGGCAAUGGUGUCUCAAGGCAGGCUUCGGCUUCCUUGACAAUGACCCGCACAUCACGACGAGAGACACGCUCAGUUGGGAUGGGCUUCACCUGUCCCCCAAAGGUAAGCAUGUGUUCUCUUCUAGGUUGGCAGAUCUCCUCCAGCUGGAUUUAAACUAGGCUCAUCAGGGGGAGGGGAAGAUGAGGGCGGGGGAAGCCAUGGACCACCAAACCAUGUGGCACUCACAAGGACAGUCCAGCCUGAAGAAGGAGAACAUCGGGAACCUGCAAUCCAUGGGGCGGCCAGCAGUACAGCACAGGAAGUUCCUUCAGAUUUUGAUUUUGGGACUAUAUCAGCUAAAACACUGGAUGUACAAGUCCUGCCUGAGUUCUUGGCUUUCUUGUGUCAGUUCUUCUGCCAUUAAGGUGCUCAGGACCAAGAUUGGUACUCAGAUACUGAAUGUCCAGUUGGCUUCAAUGAGCAUCAGGGCUCUUCAUCUUCAAAAGACCAACAGGCAACAUGAUACAGUCAUCAGUGUGUAUGUCUAACCUUUGAUGCAGGUGACAAAACAAAAGAAAAUUCUAUUGUAAAUCUGACCAAGUCCCCAAGGAAGAUAAGAUAACUCUUCUCAAUGAUGUCAGUGCUAGAGUGGGAAGGGUCUCCAAGCUAUGGAGAGGAAUGAUGGAUGGUGCAUUCCAUCAUAUCCAUCCAUAUUGCCCCAAAAUAAUAUAAGCAAACAAAGCAACUAAGGAAGAGGCCUGAUAUCAAGUACUUCAAAUAUCCUGCUAAAAGUGAUCAUCUCCAAGAGUGCCUCAAUGAAAAACUCUGAUCUCCAUGAUGAUCCUGACACCAUUUAUCACUGGAACAGCCUCAAGAAAGUCAUCCAUUAGGUAUGUGAAAAAUCUCUAGGCUUCUCCACAAAGAAACAUCAGGAAUGGUUUGAUGAGAAUGAUAGAGGAAUUCAAGCAUUCACUGACAGAAAAAGAGCCUUCAAAGCUUGGCAAAAUGACAUCAGAUCCAAACAGGAGAUAGACAUUUGUUAUCAUAUUAAAGCUGAGAUCCAGAAGAAAAUUUGAAAAUGAAAGAAAACGUGGUGGGAGGACAAAGCAAAAGUGAUUUGAAAGUUUUCUGACAACCAUGAUGUUUAUACUUUCCUCAGUGCAACCAAUAUUGCAAGACAAAAUCAUCAAAGUCAUUCUGCAACAUCCCAUUAAGGACUACUUUGAAGAUCCAUCAACUUAUAAAGAGGCCUUGAAAGCCAUUAAGCAGAUGAAGAACAACAAAGCAUGUGAUCUUGAUGGAAUACGAGCUGAAAUUUAUAAGCAAGGUGGAAAAAAGCUCUCACAAAAUAUACAUUAUUAUUAUGAAAGUCUGGAAACAUGAACAGAUUUACAGUGAUGCCAGAAUCAUUAUCCUAUUCAAGAUAGAUCAGACUAAAGCAAUUAAGGUAUUGCGCUCCUAUCCAGAGCUGGGAAGAUCCUUGUCUGCAUUCUCCACAAUAGACUCAGUUUCCUCACUGAGAAGAUUUCACCCAAGUCCCAAGGUGGUUUGGACCACUCAGAGGUACAGUAGAUAUGAUCUUUGUUGCUAGACAGCUGCAGAAGAAAUGUCACAAGCAACACAGAGAUCUUCACAGGGUCUUCACUGAACAAACUAAGCCCUUUGAUUCAAUCAACAGGGCUUCCCAAAUUGGUAUCUCAAAUGACCACCAGGCACCCAUAGUUACUGCCUUAUGGACUAGUUGCAUAGCUCUCUUCUUACCCUAUACCAUGCCCCAUGUCUUGCAGAUGGCAUCCUCAUUGAUGUUCUCUUCACUUGGCCCUUCCUCUGGGGGCUCCUGGACCCUAUCUGGUUCCACAUUCCCCUCAAUAGGUUCCUGGACCCUCACUGGUCCCACACUCUCAGCCCCUUAAUCUGGGCUCUGGACCCUUCCCUGUGUCCCUAGGAACCUCCCCCUCCCCUUUGUUCCUCCCCAAACCUCCAGACUGCUUUAGGUAUUACCCUCCAUGUUGACCUUCUGGAGCUUUAGCCAUCCUACUGAAGCAAUCAAUGCUUUCUCAGCAGGCUCCAACCUGUUACUGCUGGCUCCACUCAGGUCUGGGCUUAUCUCCUACCUUAGCCCAGCCUUCCGGCAGGGUCAGAUAACUCCAUAAUCAACCCUGGCCACACCUGCAGGCUGCCCCAACACUAGCCUGCCUGCUUCUUAAAGUGGCAGAAACACCAAGCCUCUUGCCACAAUUUGUGCCCUGUUGCAUGGAGGUGAAACUUGGACGACAUAUCAGAAACACCUGAUAGCUCUGGAACAUGACCAUGGCAUAAGCAGUGUCUUUGGAAAAUCCUUUAUAUCAGUUGGGAGGACAGAAGAAUGAAUGUCAGUGUUCUGGCUCAAGCAAACACCACAAGCAUGGAAGUCAUGUUUGUGGCACCAGCUCCAUUGGACAGGAUGUCAUAAGGAUGCCUGACAACCCGCUCCCAAAACAUAUCCUAUACUCUCAAUUCACUGGUGGUCAGCACUGUAGAAGUGGGCAAAAGAAGAGAUUUAAGGACACCUUAAAGACCAAUCUGAAGAAAUGUGACAUUAACAUCAAUACCUGGACACUCAAGAACUGAAUUGUCUGCAGUGGUGCCAUGAUGUAGCAUUGAUCAUUUUACGAAAACUCACCUCAUUAUGGAGGUGGAUACAUGAGAGAGAUAUGUAAAGACAGCUGUGACCUAACAUAACCAGGAUCUACUUCUUCCACCCAGAACUGUUUGCCACACCUGCAGGUGAAUGUGCAGAUCUCAUCAGAGUCCUUGGUGGACUAUGGACUCAUUGAUGAGUUUCCGAUUUACUGAAGAAUGUCAUCCUUCUGUCAACAGCCUGCUGACAACAACAACAAAAAGCAAGACACUAAAAGGAACCUUAAUGACAUCUGAUGAGUAAAGUUGUUUUGUAUUUGAAAGUAUUAUACAUAAAAAAGAUUCCUGAGAAUUUGAUAUAAUUUCUCUUAUUGAAUUAAAAACCAUAGAGAACUGUGAUUUAGACUAGCAAAAUUAUGUAAUGAAUCAUUUUAAUAGAUUCUAGCUCUUCCUAAACAGAUUACCAUGAAUUUGUAGUUGAAUGUUUGAUAAAUGAAAAGAAACAAAAUGUUCUACUUUUCAGCACAUUUUGAUCCACAGCUGGUGCACCGACUGUUGCAGAGUGUAUAUUAGCUUUAGCUGUGAUUUUUCAAGUUAAGGUUUACUUUAUUUAGCUCUAUGGGUAUUUAAAAUUGCUUGAAGUAAAUGUUUUAACUUUAGAAAAUGUUGCUUAAUGAGGACUUUGGCCCACCUGGAAAAUAUUAAUAUUACUCCUUGAUCCUGCAGUGCAAUCCUUUAUAGUCAUACUGUGACCUGUGCUGUAGAAGCAUUGUAACCAGCCUGAUGAAAUGGCUUUUAUCUCCAUUUGGGUAGCUGUUAUAUUUCUGAUCCUAAAGAGUGACAUGAGAAAGAGGUCUGCAUUUACCUGGCCUCUGCUUAGGGCCAGUGUGGCCCUUCUCUAAUGCAUUUCACAUUGUCAAACUUUAAUAUGCAUAACCGAAUAUAGGGUUAUUUAGGAGACUUCCAUGGUACAUUUGAUACACAGCAUAGAUCUUUACGAAAAAUAAAAAAAUAUUGACUUAAAAUUUACGUAGACAUUUCAACAUUGUUUAAUAUACUUGUAAAGCAUUUACUUUGGCACUUUUAUCAUACAUUUUAAUAAAAUAUUUUACAGUUUGUUAAUGUGAAAAUAAAGGGCAAAUCGUGUUCACCUCACUAAAGUAAAGGUACAUAAGUACAUAAUUUAAUAGAGGUGAUUAAUUUAAUCUUUGUUAGGUCCCAUUGAUGUAAUAUCUAAUCUCAAUUCUGUAACUGACUCACUGUGUGUGUCAAAGCAAGCUCUUUACCCACUGGCAGUGCUCCCAAAUAUAAAAUGGGAUAUUAUUAUUAAUUUACCUGCUGGUUAUAUUCUGAGGAAAAAAACCGUUAAUGUUUGCACAGCAACUUGAAUUUGUACAGUGCUAUGCAAAUGCUAGCAUAUUAAAAGCAUUACUAUAAAGGAUUUAAGCAAAAAUGUUAUUUGCAUUAUUGUAAAAUAAAGAGGUCAAGGUCCUUGCCAUUCUAAUUGAAACACCCAAGUUAAUUUAGUUGUUGUUAUUUAGAACAGUUAUUCCUUUGUUUGGCAUAAAUAGAGUUUAUAGCCACUUGAGAUGAAUAAUCAUCACUAAAGCAGAGUAAUUUGCUCCAGUUUGAUUAUGUCAGCAUAAACAUAGUAGUGCUUCCAUUGAACACAUGACUUAAGACAUGGUAGUAUUUCCAUUGUUACCAUCUUUAUCAAAUGCCUAUAACAAAGAGGUUAAAAUUGCUUUGGGAUGCAAUUUAGUUUAUCAUUGAUGUGCUGUACAAUUGGUUUUAUAUCUUUCUGCAGUUAAAGCUAAAACAUAGUUUCAAUUUUUAAAAUUGUGAUUUUACAUUUAUGAUUGGUGGUGUGUUUUUGUUUAGAAUACAGUGCAACUGUAUCUUGUAUGGUGGCAAAAUAAUGCAACAUUUUUAACAGUGACUACUGCAUGGGGAAGCAACUCUUCAAUAGAUCUUUAUAUUUUGACAUGUAUAUCAUAUGGAAUAUAUUAGAAAUUUCCAAAAUAUAUUUUUCUCAAUACAUUUCAACAGGCCAAAAUAAAAUUUUAAGCCUUGGA